ensembl:lincRNA
UCCCAGUCCAAUAUCAUUUCUACAAUUAAUCAGAAAAGAAGCAAAUGUGAAGAGGGUAGGGAGAGUAGAGGGAGAAGAGAGAGAGAGAGAAAGGGAGAGAGAAUGAAAAUUCUGUAACUUUGUUGGGGAUCCUAUAACUGAAUUUUCCUUGUCUGGGUGGUUCUAAUAAUCUUUUCUUUUUUUUUUUUUCUUUUGAAGGCAGAAGGGAAUAUUCUGAGUUAAGAUGUUUGCACAUAUAUUCUCUGUCACCUUUCAUGUACAACGCAGAGGAAUAAUGGUAACUUGGACAAUAUCCAGGGCAAAUCCAGUGAAAUCCCUCUACAUCUGGAGCCUCACUCCUGUUUUAGCACUGGAAUCCAAUGGGAAGGAAAGUUGCAUUCAGAGUCCAUUGAUAAUGCAGUUGGAACAAGGAAAGCUUUGCAUUGCAGUAAGAAGAAGGUGAACUUUGAAGUCCAAGAGAUGUGAGUAUGGAUUCUAGCUGGCCACAUACAAGAUUUGUGGCCAGGAGGAGGUUAAUUAAAUUAUCUGAGUCCCAUUUCUAUAAUAAUAAUAAAAAUGACAGUGAUAAGAGCUAUUACAAUGAAGCAUUUCAUGUAAGACAGAACUUGUUUUAAGAGCUUUCCAUUUUGCUUGUUUUGGUGUGUGCUUUGUUUUGUUUUGUAUUAGCUUGUUGCUAAUCCUUUUGGCAGAAAAUCUAAGCCUGAAUUUAUAUGAAACUGUUUAUCAUUUAUCUUUAUUUCACCUAUUGUGAAAGUUUUUGCUGUAAAAAUAUCAAUGCUUUUGAUUACAAGGUGCUUUUUAUUACAGGUAAACUUACCCUACUGUGGAACCAGGUAGUCUAACCUCAGCUCAUUCUUAGUCACCAUGCUCUAGGUAUCCUUAGGCUACAUGAACUACUGCACAUGAAAAGUCUCGGAUAGAGUCCUUGGGGGGCAUCUUGAAGAAAUAUUUAACUUCUCCUGAAGCUUUUCAGGGUCUGCAUUCUUGGAUUUCGAGGUAUAAUAGAGGUAGAGAAGUCAGUGGUUCAUCACUGUUGGCACAGACUUCCACAUCUGCCAUAAAGGGUAUUAUCACACAUUUCUGGAGACCAUUCAUGGAAGAUGGUGUGAUGCCUCAUUGUCUGCAGCCUGAGAUUUCUCCAAAGGUGUAGCUGAGUGAUCCCUGUGACACUCUUUGGUUUAAUGAUGCUUAGUCAUUACCACUUUCAUUACAACUCUAAUAGACUAAAUAUCAUAUCACCAUUUAACAUCUUUCCUUCAGUUUUUCAUUCUGUAUGGAAGCUGAACAGGAUAUAUUUGCCCCCAAGCCUGAUUGAAGUAAUACAAAGCUUUAUCAUUUAACUUGGAUUAAACUACUUUAGAAUGAGUCUGAUUAUAAAACCACUCUCAGCUCAUUAAUUUUUGUGGCCAAGAUGAAUGAUAUGUCAUAAUGCCACCAACAAAGCUGGACUGGUCAGCAUUCAUAUGACACCAAUGUCACAUUCCCCAUACACUGCAAGGGUCUAGACUCAAUGCCAGCCAAACAAGAAGGUUGAGCCACAGAAGCCACUGAAGGGCAAAAUAAGUUUUCAAAAUAUGUAAGAUGUAAAAAUACAAGUAAAGAAUAAGGGAGUUGGAAGAAAUCUAAUUGAUCAUUCGACUUUCUAAUCUUAAAAAUAUGGAAACCAAGACACAACAACAAAAAAAAGGGGAUACACCCAAGGUCAUAUAAGUGAUUUCUGGAAGGAUCACAGGCAGUUACAUAAGCCAUGAACUCUGAAAGCCAUCCAAAAUUAAUAAUUUUUAAAGGCAGAUUGCAUACCGUUGUUAAUUCCAUUUUCUAAAAGAUUCAUCAGCUAGCUUAGUAUUUCAUCUAUAUUCAUCUCAAUUUCCUUAAAC